rnacentral:lncRNA from 1 species
GCUGUUUAUUUCUAUUGAUGUCAACCUUGAAUGAUUUUUAUUAACUCCCAAAUAAAUGCUUUAUUAUUUUCUGUUAUAUGUGGCUGCUGGUGACAAUCUCUUAGAUUUUUUUUCCCUUUGUCCAAAACUACCUUCAUUUUACUUUCAACUUUGAAUGAUAAUUUCACUGUAUAUAACACACUAGAUUCCUUAGCAGUUAUAAAUGUUUCCUGGCUUCUGUCAUGUGUCAAAUACGUAGGCAAGGUGGAGGAACAAACCAAGUUUAUUGGGGAAAGUUUUUUGGGGUAACUCCUAUAAAAAAUAUAAAGGGAGCAAGCAGUCAUAAGGGUGAUCUGAAGCCUGUGAAGAGAAAAGGGGAAGGAAGACCCUCAUACCAUCUUCCAAAUCUGAAAAACCUUUGGGGAGCCCUGAAGCAAAUGUGACCCUCUGAGGAAUCCUACAUUACUUAGAAAUAACCAGGCCAUAGUACUCCUCUUUGCUUAGACCUUAAUUUGGUGCUGAGAAAAGAAUGGCCUUGACCAUUCAAGUUGAAGUACAUUCUGAAAGCACUGAAAGUGGAGGCUGUCAGCUAACCAUGUUCAGCACAAAUGAGUAGCAACUUCUCCUUGAAGGGAGAAAAGAGAGGCACAAUUCUAUGAUCACAGUCUACCUCCUGCACCCCAUUCAUUCAUUCUUUUAUAUACAUUUAAGGUGUACUUCCUCUGGGAUUCCAAUGGAUCUCUCUUUUUGGUUGAGAAAAAAGAAGGCAGCUGGUGGGACAAACAACAGUCACUACUGUAGUUGGUCUUGGAGGUCACAAUUAGAACUCAUUGUUGUCUCUCUUCCAUUCUAAUCUAAAGUCUUCUCACCUUCAGUACAAUUUCUCCUGGUUUCCAUGACUGGUUUCCAUGGAGUGAUAUAUGAGAUGUCCAAGUUUCUUAUAAUACCAUUCUUAGAAAGGAACUGGCACACAUGUUCAUUCAUAUGUACAUGCACAUGUUCAUUCAGACGGGGAAGUUUCAAGAGGCACCCAAGUAAACUUCUAUAAAUAUUCCUUUCUGGCCUCAUUAAAUAAAAGUAGUCCUAAUUUAUCAUUCUGAUAAGGAUCAAUUCUAGCAACAUGGAGACUCUUUUUCUUGGCUGCUAUUCUUUGGACUCAAGAAUUCCAAAGUACCCAGAUAACAGUCAGAGGAUUCAGGUCAAUGGGGACUUUGCUGAGUUCUUGUGGAAGAAUUUGCUCCUUUUGAAUACCAGGAACUAUAGAAGUCAGAAUGGUGGAGAUGAAAAGCAUAUUCUCAAAAUGGAUCACUGAAUCUUAGACAUAGUGCCAUAUAAGACAUUAAUUGAAGGUACAUUCUGCCUUUUAAGGGAUGGUGCCCUAUGCUCACAGAGUAGUGUGUCUGAGCUGACACUUCAGUAGUCCCUUCAGUAGAUUAUUACCAAGGUCUAGGGCUGGCUGAUUGGUUAUUAUACCAUGUGAUGUGACCAGUGGGUCCCAUGGUUUGGACCCACUUACAAAGCCUUCCACAUCUUUAUUCUGCACUGCUAUGUAGGAUUUUAUACUUCUUGCAUUAGGCUACUCCAGAGGAACAGAACCAGUAGAAUUUGUAUAUAUGUGUGAGAGAGAAUUUAUUCUAAGGAACUAACUCAUAUGAUCAUGGGAUCUGGCAUGUCUGAAGCUUGCAGAUCCAACUAGCAGGAAACAGAUUCAUCAAGAGAUAGAAAUAGAGAUAGAGAUGUAGAGAUAGAGACAGACAGAUGAUAGAGACAGAGACAGAGAAAGACAGAGACAGAGAGAGAGAGAUAGAGAUAGAGGAAGAGGGGUACUCCUAUUAAUUGCCCACCUAUUUGUCUCUAGAGAAGCUAUAUUCUAUUAAUCAUCUCCACAACACUUUGAAAAUGAUGUCCCCCUGUUUACUACUCCAACCUGAUCAGUCAUUAUGUUAAUUGAGACACUCCAUCUUCUGUAGUUAAGUGCUGGUUCUUAGCUUUUAUUACUUCCAGGGCCUUAUCUAUUUGGUUUUUUUCAGCUCUGUCACAAACUGAACUCCAUGGAAGCCUUCUCUGUCAGCCACUGUGCCUUGGGGAUCAGAGACACAAGUGAGCUUUUUAUUCAUCCUGCUGCCCCUCUAGCCAGAAGCCAGUGCAUUCCUGAGAACCAUGUUAAAGGGUGUAUCCUCUGGGCCUUCUCGUGGAACAACCUCUCAUACAGGGUUUCCCUCCAUCAAGGUUAAGUACGUCUCGAAGUCUCCAUGUUCAGUGACUAACUGAUCUUGAAUUCGGUUGCCCGAACAAGCAUAUCCAGUGUAAGCACUUUUACUGAGCACCCACCAAGUCAAAAGGAGCAUUUCAAGUGCUCUGGAACCUUCUGCUUUCAUUUACUAAUAAUCCUCAAACAGAAUGUCUGCUUCCGACAUUGGCUUCUGAAAUAGAACAGAAUCUUAAUUAGCUCAUGAG